ACCCGGAGUGUAAAAUACAGAGUCUGGGGCUGUGGGGUAACAGACUGACCGAUGGCUGCACUGAUGAUCUGGUCUCAGCUCUCAGUACAAACCGCUCACUGAGGAUCCUGGGCCUGGGGUCUAACUCCUUCACAGACGGCUCUGUCCCCGCUCUCCGCCGCCUCAUACAGACCUGCACCAGUCUGGAGGGGAUCAGGCUGUGGUGGAAUAAGUUCAGUUCAGACGGGGAGAAUCAGCUGCAGUCACUGCGGGGAAUCAGAUCUGGGCUGUCAGUGACAGUGAGAUUUGGACUGAGUCAGAGACCGUCCACACAGUCUGUGUAACAUGAAAUGUAUUCUAGAUACUGUAGUGAUUGAUUAUUAAAGAUGAUAAUCCUGA